rnacentral:rRNA from 1 species
AUGGUCCAGGAUCAUGGUGCGCUCGGGCCUCAUGGCUACGCCGGAGCCAGAGCCGGAGGAGGAGGUUCGGGUGAUCGUCUACAGCGACGACCCGACUGUGCAGGGGUGCCGUUCAUCAACAUCAGCUUCGGACUCCAUCCACACCAGGGCCAGGUCGUCGUGUGCUCUAUUUGCUUGGAGGACAUCGAGGCGGGCACCGAGCGAUGCAAGCUCCUCUGCGGCCACGACUACCACAUGGAUUGCAUCCGCCACAUGCUACUUUUCAGUUCCCGUUGUCCCCAGUGCCGCGCUCGGCUUGCGCGCCGCGCGUUUCGAGUGGCCGGCGGGGUUCAGAUUGUCGCCGCUAACAUCGUCUCAGGCUAG